GAUGAACGCUGGCGGCGUGCCUAAUACAUGCGAGUCGAGCGAACAGACGAGGAGCUUGCUCCUCUGACGUUAGCGGCGGACGGGUGAGUAACACGUGGAUAACCUACCUAUAAGAGUGGGAUAACUUCGGGAAACCGGAGCUAAUACCGGAUAAUAUAUUGAACCGCAUGGUUCAAUAGUGAAAGACGGUUUUGCUGUCACUUAUAGAUGGAUCCGCGCCGCAUUAGCUAGUUGGUAAGGUAACGGCUUACCAAGGCUACGAUGCGUAGCCGACCUGAGAGGGUGAUCGGCCACACUGGAACUGAGACACGGUCCAGACUCCUACGGGAGGCAGCAGUAGGGAAUCUUCCGCAAUGGGCGAAAGCCUGACGGAGCAACGCCGCGUGAGUGAUGAAGGUCUUCGGAUCGUAAAACUCUGUUAUUAGGGAAGAACAAAUGUGUAAGUAACUAUGCACGUCUUGACGGUACCUAAUCAGAAAGCCACGGCUAACUACGUG
rnacentral:rRNA from 1 species